rnacentral:rRNA from 1 species
GACGAACGCUGGCGGCGUGCUUAACACAUGCAAGUCGAACGGAAAGGCCCUGCUUUUGUGGGGUGCUCGAGUGGCGAACGGGUGAGUAACACGUGAGUAACCUGCCCUUGACUUUGGGAUAACUUCAGGAAACUGGGGCUAAUACCGGAUAGGAGCUCCUGCUGCAUGGUGGGGGUUGGAAAGUUUCGGCGGUUGGGGAUGGACUCGCGGCUUAUCAGCUUGUUGGUGGGGUAGUGGCUUACCAAGGCUUUGGCGGGUAGCCGGCCUGAGAGGUGGACCGGCGACAUUGGGACUGAGAGACGGACCAGACUCCUACGGGAGGCAGCAGUGGAGAAUAUUGCACAAUGGGCGGAAGCCUGAUGCAGCAGCGCCGCGUGCGUGAUGACGGCCUUCGGGUUGUAAACCGCUUUCGCCUGUGACGAAGCGUGAGUGACGGUAAUGGGUAAAGAAGCACCGGCUAACUACGUG